rnacentral:siRNA from 1 species
CGCACCCAAGUGCAGAGCACUUA